UUUCUGUUUUGUUUUUUUAUUGUAGAAGUUCUUUGAAAUGAUGGACGAAACGCAUGGACAGAUGACAGUGAUGGUACUCAUUAAGCUCUUGGAGAAACAGCGGCGAUUGCCUUGUCCCAAAGACUGCCCACAUGAGGUGAAGAUGUUAAUGGAGCAGUGUUGGGCUGCAGAACCUGCACAACGGCUGUCCUUUGGAUCCCUCAUCCAGAAGUUUGAGGGUAUUCGUCAAAAAUAUGACUGGCAGUCGAAUAUAGACUUUUCUUCGGCUCAGAUUUGCUGAUCGGGACUCUGAAAAUCUACCUGUCCUCUUGUGAUCACUUUGCCACUGUAGCAGCCAUAUACAGUAUGAAUAUAGGGUAGCUAUUAAUUUGUUUGCCUGCUGCAUUCAUUUGAAUAGUUAUCUUAUGCUGUUGGUUCCUUUUUGAUAAAAGCACACAGCUCCUCUCUUGAUGAACUCAGUCAAUGUAAAUUGUUUCUUGGCUGAUGAGUUUACCAGAGAUAAUAUAAGGUGAUGUCGUUAGCAGACAGGCAACAAGUGUCAGCCUUUGUCUUUUGAAAGUUCAAGUUUGCAACAUCACUUCAUGUAUUAAGAAUUUCUCUAUGCUUGUAAGAAUAAUGUCUUAAAUUUUAGGUUUAUCUUUGUAUGUUUCCUAAUCGUAUGUUUAAUUGGGUUUUAUUUUAUAUACCAGUAUACCAAAAGAACAACAGAACAGUCUUUUGAAAUGUUAUUCAUUUGCAUUGUUAUUAAAUACUUAAACAGUC